AGUUAGUGGCGGACGGGUGAGUAACACGUGGGAACGUGCCUUUUGGUUCGGAAUAGCUCCUGGAAACGGGUGGUAAUGCCGAAUGUGCCCUUCGGGGGAAAGAUUUAUCGCCAUUAGAGCGGCCCGCGUCUGAUUAGCUAGUUGGUGAGGUAAAGGCUCACCAAGGCUACGAUCAGUAGCUGGUCUGAGAGGAUGACCAGCCACAUUGGGACUGAGACACGGCCCAAACUCCUACGGGAGGCAGCAGUGGGGAAUCUUGCGCAAUGGGCGAAAGCCUGACGCAGCCAUGCCGCGUGAAUGAUGAAGGUCUUAGGAUUGUAAAAUUCUUUCACCGGGGACGAUAAUGACGGUACCCGGAGAAGAAGCCCCGGCUAACUUCGUGCCAGCAGCCGCGGUAAUACGAAGGGGGCUAGCGUUGCUCGGAAUUACUGGGCGUAAAGGGAGCGUAGGCGGACAUUUAAGUCAGGGGUGAAAUCCCAGAGCUCAACUCUGGAACUGCCUUUGAUACUGGGUGUCUUGAGUGUGAGAGAGGUAUGUGGAACUCCGAGUGUAGAGGUGAAAUUCGUAGAUAUUCGGAAGAACACCAGUGGCGAAGGCGACAUACUGGCUCAUUACUGACGCUGAGGCUCGAAAGCGUGGGGAGCAAACAGGAUUAGAUACCCUGGUAGUCCACGCCGUAAACGAUGAUUGCUAGUUGUCGGGAAGUUUACUUCUCGGUGACGCAGCUAACGCA
rnacentral:rRNA from 1 species